UACGUAGGGGGCAAGCGUUGUCCGGAUUUAUUGGGCGUAAAGAGCGUGUAGGCGGUUUGGUAGGUCCGCUGUGAAAACUCGAGCUCAACCUCGAGACGCCGGUGGAAACCAUCAGACUAGAGUCCGGAAGAGGUGAGUGGAACUCCUAGUGUAGAGGUGGAAUUCGUAGAUAUUAGGAAGAAACACCAGUGGCGAAGGCGGCUCACUGGUCCGGUAC
rnacentral:rRNA from 1 species